AGUGAACGCUGGCGGUGGGCCUAACACAUGCAAGUCGAACGGCAGCACAGUAAGAGCUUGCUCUUACGGGUGGGGAGUGGCGGACGGGUGAGGAAUACAUCGGAAUCUACUUUUUCGUGGGGGAUAACGUAGGGAAACUUACGCUAAUACCGCAUACGACCUAGAGGUGAAAGCAGGGGAUCUUCGGAACUUGCGCGAUUGAAUGAGCAGAUGUCGGAUUAGCUGGUUGGCGGGGUAAAGGCCCACCAAGGCGACGAUCCGUAGCUGGUCUGAGAGGAUGUUCAGCAACACUGGAACUGAGACACGGCCCAGACUCCUACGGAAGGCAGCAGUGGGGAAAAUUGGACAAUGGGGGCAAGCCUGAUCCAGCCAGACCGCGGGGGUGAAGAAGGCCUUCGGGUUGUAAAGCCCUUUUGUUGGGAAAGAAAAGCAGCAGGUUAAUACCCGGCUGUUCUGAGGGAACCCAAAAAAUAAGCACCGGCAAACUUCUG
rnacentral:rRNA from 1 species